CCUGAAACCGUGCGCCCCCAAGCAGCGGGAGCCGUUCCGACGACGGUGACCGCGUGCCUUUUGUAGAAUGAGCCUGCGAGUCGCGGCAUGCGGCGAGGUUAAGGGACACCGAGCCGCAGCGAAAGCGAGCCUGAACAGGGCGAUUUGAGUCGCAUGCCGCGGACGCGAAGCCGGGUGAGCUAUCCAUGGGCAGGGUGAAGCGGGGGUAAGACCCCGUGGAGGCCCGAACCCACUUCGGUUGAAAACGGAGGGGAUGACCCGCGGAUAGGGGUGAAAGGCCUAUCAAACCCGGAGAUAUCUCGUUCUCCCCGAAACAGCUUUAGGGCUGGCCCCGGGCAUUGACCAUCGGAGGUAGAGCACUGGACCGGCGAGGGGGCCUCACCGCCUACCGACCCAGACCAAACUCCGAAUGCCGAUGGUUUUAACCCCGGGAGUCAGAGCGCGUGGGCUAAGCUGCGCGCUCGAGAGGGAAACAGCCCAGACCGCCCGCCAAGGCCCCAAAGGCCGUGCUAAGUGGCAAAGGAUGUGCGCCCGCCCAGACAACCAGGAUGUUGGCUUAGAAGCAGCCAUGCAUUCAAAGAGUGCGUAACAGCUCACUGGUCGAGUGGGGGCGCGCCGACAAUGCGCGGGGCUCAAGCACGGCGCCGAAGCGGCGGAAUCAUGAAUUUGAUUGGUAGGGGAGCUUUCCAUGCCGGGCGAAGCCGGAGGCGCGAGCCCCGGUGGACGGCAUGGAAGUGAGGAUGCAGGCAUGAGUAGCGAGAGAGCGGCGAGAAACCGCUCCGCCGAAAACCCAAGGUUUCCUGGGCGAGGCUAAUCCCCCCAGGGUCAGCCGGGAGCUAAGGCGAGGCCGAGAGGCGCAGCCGAUGCACGACGGGCAGACAUUCCCGUGCCGGCGCGGGCGCGCUACGACCGAUGGGACGACGGGGAAGGAUACGCGAGCGGGGUUCUGGACGUCCCCGUGAAAGCGCGUAGGGAGGGGCCCAGGGAAAUCCGGUCCCCACACAUCCCGAGACGCGAGACGAGCCGCACGGCGAAGUCGCGGAUUCCACGCCUCCUAGAAAAAUCCCUAGGCAGCGCCCACGCCGCCCGUACCAAAACCGACACAGGUGGGUAGGAAGAGCAUUCCGAGGCGAUCGGGGCAACCAUGGUCAAGGAACUCGGCAUAAUCGUCCCGUAACUUAGGGAGAAGGGACGCCCCCCAGCGUGAACCGGCUCGCCCGGGGAGCGCCGGGGGGCCGCAGCGAAAGGGCCCAAGCGACUGUUUACCAAAAACACAGGACUCUGCCAAGCCGCGAGGCGAAGUAUAGGGUCUGACGCCUGCCCGGUGCCGGAAGGUCACGGGGAUCCGUUAGAGCGAUCGAAGCGGUGAACCCAAGCCCCGGUAAACGGCGGCCGUAACUAUAACGGUCCUAAGGUAGCGAAAUUCCUUGUCGGGUAAGUUCCGACCUGCACGAACGGCGCAACGACUUGGGCGCUGUCUCGACCAUGGGCCCGGCGAAAUUGCAUUAUCCGUGAAGAUGCGGAUUCCCCGCGGAAGGACGGAAAGACCCCGUGAACCUUUACUGCAGCUUGGCAUUGGCCGCAGGCGCGGCGCGUAGAGGAUAGGCAGGAGGCUGCGAAGCCCGGGCGCCAGCCCGGGCGGAGCCGACCUUGGAAUACUGCCCCCGUCGCGUCGGCGGCCUAACCCGGGGACGGCCCGGGGACCGUGCCAGGCGGGCAGUUUGACUGGGGCGGUCGCCUCCCAAAGAGUAACGGAGGCGCGCGCAAGGUCCGCUCAGGACGGUCGGCAACCGUCCGAAGAGCGCAAGAGCACAAGCGGGCCUGACUGCGAGGCAGACAAGCCGAGCAGGGACGAAAGUCGGCUCUAGUGAUCCGGCGGCCCCGAGUGGAAGGGCCGUCGCUCAACGGAUAAAAGGUACUCCGGGGAUAACAGG
rnacentral:rRNA from 1 species